UUGGCCAUUGACAGGGAUGCUGCUGAUUGAGGCUGUAGGCUGGGCAGUGCUUGUGGAGAUGUAGCUCCAUAAAAACAUAGGACCAAAGGCUGUGUUACCUUGCAGUGCCUUCCCUGUGGCUGUGGAAAGCUCAGGAGGAUCCACUAAUGUUCUCCUUAGUGUGCCCUUAUGGGUGUGAAAAACAGCUUGAGAGUGGGAGAGUGAGGAUGAUGGCUGUGACACACGCUGCUGGUGUAUAAGGGAAUUUUGUAAUAUAGCCCCCAGAUGCCCCAGGUAUCUGGCCUGCUUAGUACUGUGGAGGAGGGCAACUCCUUGCUCCAUCCCACAGUGCUUGCCAGCCUGGUGGAGAGGAAGAAUUUCCUUCUAAUCCCAAAUCUGGCAACAGUGGAACUCCUGGGUGUUCACAGGACACAUGAACCAGUGAGAUUUCACUUGUGCCCUGUACAGUGAGUAGCAGCACCUUCCUGACUGUACCAGACCUUGCCCAACUUCCAUGGGGAUUGCAUCAGCCUUUCUUGCACUCAGCUGAUUGGGGAUUGACUGAUGUGAUCUCUUCUCUUUCCUCCUCCAUUGCCCCAGUUUAUUUUGGAAGCUUGCUGAAGCCAUGUUGAAACAUACCCGCUUAAUUAAAAUUGUUCUUGUACUCAAAAUCUCAUUGAAGACUUUGCAUUUGGGGAUUCAUAAAUGGGAGUUGAAUGUC